rnacentral:rRNA from 1 species
GCAUAACGCGAAGAACCUUACCUGGUCUUGACACCCACAGAAUUCUGCAGAGAUGCGGAAGUGCCUUCGGGAACUGUGAGACAGGUGCUGCAUGGCUGUCGUCAGCUCGUGUUGUGAAAUGUUGGGUUAAGUCCCGCAACGAGCGCAACCCUUAUCCUUUGUUGCCAGCGGUCCGGCCGGGAACUCAAAGGAGACUGCCAGUGAUAAACUGGAGGAAGGCGGGGAUGACGUCAAGUCAUCAUGGCCCUUACGACCAGGGCUACACACGUGCUACAAUGGCGCAUACAAAGAGAAGCGACCCCGCGAGGGCAAGCGGACCUCAUAAAGUGCGUCGUAGUCCGGAUUGGAGUCUGCAACUCGACUCCAUGAAGUCGGAAUCGCUAGUAAUCGUGGAUCAGAAUGCCACGGUGAAUACGUUCCCGGGUCUUGUACACACCG